rnacentral:rRNA from 1 species
UAGUCCUAGCCGUAAACGAUGUGCAUUUUGUCGGUGGAAGUUCGAUCUUCUGCCUGCCGAAGCGAAAGCGUUAAAUGCACCACCUGGGGAGUACGAUCGCAAGAUUAAAACUCAAAGGAAUUGACGGGGGCUUGCACAAGCGGUGGAGGAUGUGGUUUAAUUUGAUGAUACGCGGAGAACCUUACCUGGGUUUGACAUUCUAGGAUUAAGUCUAUGAAAGUAGAUGGAUUUUCCUUACGGAAGUAACUAGAACAGGUGUUGCAUGGCUGUCGUCAGCUCGUGUCGUGAGAUGUCGGGUUAAGUCCCUUAACGAGCGAAACCCUCAUGUUUAGUUGCCAACAGGUAAAGCUGGGAACCCUAAACAAACUGCCGUGCAUAACACGGAGGAAGGAGAGGAUGACGUCAAGUCAUCAUGGGCCCUUACACCCAGGGGCUACACACGUCCUACAAUGGCAUGUACAAUGAGAUGCAAGACCGCAAGGGUGGGAGCAAAUCUAUAAAGCAU